UAGGGAAUCUUCGGCAAUGGGGGGAACCCUGACCGAGCAACGCCGCGUGAGUGAAGAAGGUUUUCGGAUCGUAAAGCUCUGUUGUUAAGGAAGAACGAGUGUGAGAAUGGAAAGUUCAUACUGUGACGGUACUUAACCAGAAAGGGACGGCUAACUACGUGCCAGCAGCCGCGGUAAUACGUAGGUCCCGAGCGUUGUCCGGAUUUAUUGGGCGUAAAGCGAGCGCAGGCGGUUAGAAAAGUCUGAAGUGAAAGGCAGUGGCUCAACCAUUGUAGGCUUUGGAAACUGUUUAACUUGAGUGCAGAAGGGGAGAGUGGAAUUCCAUGUGUAGCGGUGAAAUGCGUAGAUAUAUGGAGGAACACCGGUGGCGAAAGCGGCUCUCUGGUCUAUAACUGACGCUGAGGCUCGAAAGCGUGGGGAGCGAACAGGAUUAGAUACCCUGGUAGUCCACGCCGUAAACGAUGAGUGCUAGGUGUUAGGUCCUUUCCGGGACUUAGUGCCGCAGCUAACGCAUUAAGCACUCCGCCUGGGGAGUACGACCGCAAGUUG
rnacentral:rRNA from 1 species